GGACCGUGUACGGUGUACCCAACGCACCGAACUGAAUCCCUUCCGUCUCCCACAGAGAGAGAGGAAUCCCAUCCAUGGCGUCUUCAAAGCUCCAAGCGUUCUUGAACCACCCGGCAAGACCUAAAACCAUUCACUUUUGGGCACCAACUUUCAAAUGGGGCAUUAGCAUAGCCAACGUUGCCGACUUCUCCAAAACACCAGAAAAGCUUUCGUAUCCUCAACAAAUAGAAGAAUUGGAACCUCUUUAGUGUAAAUAUUGCAAUGGCUGGGACAGGACUCUACCAACUUUCACGCAAAAUAAGGCAUGAUUAUUUCUCCGAUGAAGAAGUAGCCGUUGCACAAGAAUGAUGACGAAAAGUUAUAAACCUCCUAUUGCCUCCUUUCCUUGCAUAUUAUUCAAGUACUUAUACUAUCAUGCUUCUAUCCUUGUGUAUUUGUAACUUUGUUGAUUGUCACUCUACUGGUAAACAAGCUGUAAUUAAGUGAGCCCUUGAGCAUUCAAGGUUCCCAAACUGAAUGAUAGUUUCUAAAAAACACUUGUUUUUAUCUUUGUGAAAUAUCGUGAUUGUAACAAAUCUUAUCGGAUUCUUUGGAUUUAUAUGUUUGUGCUUGAAA